rnacentral:rRNA from 1 species
UGCAUUUAGAGGAAGUAAAAGUCGUAACAAGGUUUCCGUAGGUGAACCUGCGGAAGGAUCAUUAUUGAAAUAAACCUGAUGGGUUGUUGCUGGCUCUCUAGGGAGCAUGUGCACGCCUUGUCAUCUUUAUAUCUCCACCUGUGCACCUUUUGUAGACCUUUCGGGGUCUAUGUUGCUUCAUUUUUCCACAAUGUAUGUUAAUAGAAUGUUGUGCCCUGUAUAAUAUAUACAACUUUCAGCAACGGAUCUCUUGGCUCUCGCAUCGAUGAAGAACGCAGCGAAAUGCGAUAAGUAAUGUGAAUUGCAGAAUUCAGUGAAUCAUCGAAUCUUUGAACGCACCUUGCGCUCCUUGGUAUUCCGAGGAGCAUGCCUGUUUGAGUGUCAUUAAUAUACAUAUAUCAAGCCUUCUCUUGUAGAAGGGUUUGGAUGUGGGGGUUUGCUGGCCUCUUAAUCUUAAGAGUUCAGCUCUCCUGAAAUGCAUUAGCAGAACAACCUUAUGUUCAUUGGUGUGAUAACUAUCUACGCUAUUGAAUGUUGAGGGGGAAGUUCAGCUUUCUAACGGUCCCUUGGACAACUCAUCAUUAAUGUGACCUCAAAUCAGGUAGGACUACCCGCUGAACUUAAGCAUAUCAAUAAGCGGAGGAAAAGAAACUAACAAGGAUUCCCCUAGUAACUGCGAGUGAAGCGGGAAAAGCUCAAAUUUAAAAUCUGGCGGUUUUUUUGGCCGUCCGAGUUGUAAUCUAGAGAAGUGUUAUCCGCGCUGGACCGUGUACAAGUCUCCUGGAAUGGAGCAUCAUAGAGGGUGAGAAUCCCGUCUUUGACAUGGACUGCCAGGGCUUUGUGAUGCGCUCUCAAAGAGUCGAGUUGUUUGGGAAUGCAGCUCAAAAUGGGUGNUAAAUUCCAUCUAAAGCUAAAUAUUGGCGAGAGACCGAUAGCGAACCAGUACCGUGAGGGAAAGAUGAAAGAACUU